UACGUAGGGGGCAAGCGUUGUCCGGAUUUAUUGGGCGUAAAGAGCGUGUAGGCGGCCAGGUAGGUCUGCUGUGAAAACUCGAGGCUCAACCUCGAGACGCCGGUGGAAACCAUCUAGCUAGAGUCCGGAAGAGGAGAGUGGAAUUCCUGGUGUAGCGGUGAAAUGCGUAGAGAUGGGGGAGAACACUCGUGGCGAAGGCGGCCAGCUAGACCAGUUCUGACACUGAGGCGCGACAGCGUGGGGAGCAAACAGG
rnacentral:rRNA from 1 species